rnacentral:rRNA from 1 species
UCGGCUAGGGGGCCAUCCCGGCUUACCAACCCGAUGCAAACUGCGAAUACCGGAGAAUGUUAUCACGGGAGACACACGGCGGGUGCUAACGUCCGUCGUGAAGAGGGAAACAACCCAGACCGCCAGCUAAGGUCCCAAAGUCAUGGUUAAGUGGGAAACGAUGUGGGAAGGCCCAGACAGCCAGGAUGUUGGCUUAGAAGCAGCCAUCAUUUAAAGAAAGCGUAAUAGCUCACUGGUCGAGUCGGCCUGCGCGGAAGAUGUAACGGGGCUAAACCAUGCACCGAAGCUGCGGCAGCGGCACGCAAGUGUUGUUGGGUAGGGGAGCGUUCUGUAAGCCGUUGAAGGUGGCCUGUGAGGGUUGCUGGAGGUAUCAGAAGUGCGAAUGCUGACAUAAGUAACGAUAAAGCGGGUGAAAAGCCCGCUCGCCGGAAGACCAAGGGUUCCUGUCCAACGUUAAUCGGGGCAGGGUGAGUCGACCCCUAAGGCGAGGCCGAAAGGCGUAGUCGAUGGGAAACGGGUUAAUAUUCCCGUACUUGGUGUUACUGCGAAGGGGGGACGGAGAAGGCUAUGUUGGCCGGGCGACGGUUGUCCCGGUUUAAGCGUGUAGGCUGGUUUUCCAGGCAA